rnacentral:lncRNA from 1 species
UUUUUUUUUUUUUUUUUUUUUUUUUUUUUUUUUUUUUUUUUUUUUUUUUUUUUUUUUUUUUUUUUUUUUUUUUUUUAUAAAACAUUCUUUAUAAACUCCAAAAAGGCAUCUCUAAAUAUACACACUUGGGGAAUAAUUUACUGAGGGAGACUACAGUUUUUUGAAGUUGUUCAUCCCUUAUUUAAUAUUCUUGAGGUUUCUCUAUAUAUGAA